UACGUAGGGUGCGAGCGUUAAUCGGAAUCACUGGGCGUAAAGGGCGCGUAGGCGGUCCGGUAAGCGCGUGGUGAAAGCCCGGGGCUCAACCCCGGGUCGGCCGUGCGGACUGCGGGACUCGAGCACUGUAGAGGCGGGCGGAAUUCCGGGUGUAGCGGUGGAAUGCGUAGAGAUCCGGAAGAACACCGGUGGCGAAGGCGGCCCGCUGGGCAGGAUGCUGACGCUGAGGCGCGACAGCGUGGGGAGCAAACAGG
rnacentral:rRNA from 1 species